UACGAAGGGGGCUAGCGUUGCUCGGAAUCACUGGGCGUAAAGCGCACGUAGGCGGAUUUUUAAGUCAGGGGUGAAAUCCUGGAGCUCAACUCCAGAACUGCCUUUGAUACUGGGAAUCUCGAGUCCGGGAGAGGUGAGUGGAACUGCGAGUGUAGAGGUGAAAUUCGUAGAUAUUCGGAGGAACACCAGUGGCGAAGGCGGCUCACUGGUCCAUUACUGACGCUGAGGUGCGAAAGCGUGGGGAGCAAACAGG
rnacentral:rRNA from 1 species